UGCUUCUGAAGGUCAUCAUAUUCUUUUUCAGCUUGACGCUGUACUUCAAUUUUUUCUUUCAUUAGCUUUUCUGUUUCCUCUAGUAAUUGCUGCUCUACUGGCCCCGCAUCUGCUCUCAUGGCAUCCUUCUGUCUGGCGAGUAACUCCUUUUCUUCCUGGAUCUGCUGCUGUUCAGCUUCUAGUUCCUGCAAUUUGUUACCUGUACACAGUAGUUCUUGC
rnacentral:lncRNA from 1 species